UUUAGAGAAAUGAUGUAGCUUCCUUAUAAGAUCCCAAAGCAUCAACUAUACAAAAGAAUGCUUCUGCAGUUUAAAGUCAAGUUUGAUGAAAGAAAGAGUCUGGACAUACUAUUGUUCUUGUUACCGAUUGCAAAUGUAGCUUGUCUCCGACGAUGGGGCCGAGAACCGCAGGCUACGUACCCUAUGCAUCGCUGCUUUGACUGACCUAUCUCCCUGCGUCGGCAACCGCUUCUCUGAUGGAUGGGUUCAUCAGAGGGACUCGUCAUGGCGCGCUUCAUCAACACCAAGAGGAGACCCCUUCAUCUUCAUGGCCGGCCCUCAAGCAAAGCAAAGGGAGGGGAUCGAAAUCGUCCAUGGACGGACGCGCUGAUGGGGACCUGA